CUUGGUUCCUGCAAAGAAUUGAAUUAUAACUUUCAUCAUGUUUUCCAUUGGCGAUUUUAGAUCCUUUUAGGGGGGCUCAGGCCAUGUCCAAAGGGCU